rnacentral:rRNA from 1 species
CCUACGGGGCGCAGCAGUCGGGAAUAUUGCGCAAUGGAGGAAACUCUGACGCAGUGACGCCGCGUAUAGGAAGAAGGUUUUCGGAUUGUAAACUAUUGUCGUGAGGGAAGAAAUUGACAGUACCUCAGGAGGAAGCUCCGGCUAACUAUGUGCCAGCAGCCGCGGUAAUACGUAGGGAGCAAGCGUUAUCCGGAUUUAUUGGGUGUAAAGGGUGCGUAGACGGGAAGGCAAGUUGGUUGUGAAAUCCCUCGGCUUAACUGAGGAACUGCAACCAAAACUAUCUUUCUUGAGUGCUGGAGAGGAAA